GCUGUCAUAGCUUCCGCAUUAUAAAAGCAUCGCUUUUGUUUCAGCAGUGGAGUAGUAGAGGCCAAUGGCACAGGAUAUGAGAGUAUCAAUUCCGAUGAUAAACUAGAUGUCAGUAAACGGUGGAAGCUUUGAACACAGCAAUGAAUGGUGCUAGCUUUGUCGUUGCUUUGAUUGGCUGCUGGGAAUUAGCUUACUGGGCUAAAUCGCUGCAUUGUGGUUGUCACGAUAUCCAGAUGGAUUAGCUUGAUGCAUGAAUAUGAGGCUAAAAAGUUUAGGAUGGAUGAGCUGCUGUUAAGGUAAUCAACGUGAACCAACUCAUCAGCCCCCAAGUGCAGUAGCCUGAUUAAAGGAUGUUUAUAUAUUGCUCCCAGCAGUGGUAGUCAAGAUUCAGCGUGACAUAUUUCAGCAAGGAAGAGGUUAGCUGCUGGAAUUAUGGCCUAAUUUCCAGGCAGAAGGUUCAGACCUUACCAGAUCUAGAAGAAAUUCAUCAACUAGUGAUGAGGUUAU